AGCUGAUUUUCGAAAUGUACAGAAAUUCCCUUUUCCUCAACAGCACGACUCGUGUUUUGUAGUUGCAUUCCUGGUUGUGUAUCAUGCAAUCGAACAGAAUACAAUUUUAUACUGUCAGCCUAAGAACCCCGUUUUUCCAGAAAAAAAAACGACAUUGCAGUUUUCCCACCAAUCGUGAGAAAAGAGAAAAAUGCAUCCACUCCCUCUUCAGAUUAGGACCUUUUUCGUGGCUUAACGCAAUAGCAACAGCCGUGUGCAGUUGAUUAUUGGAUCAAACGAUCGGUUAUGGAACUGCCGCAACAGCAGCGCAAAUAAAACACUACGACCUUUUUUUCUGAUGCGUUCUUUGCUGGGAGCAAUGCAGGAGGUGGAGCCAGCAUUGGCUUCCGUAAAUUAAGCUAUGUAUAUUGUAUAUACUUUCAAAGCGCUAGCCCUGCCCGACAAACUGAUUUCCAAUAACGUGAAGUGUUCAUAAAUUCCAAAUUCCCGCAACAACUGAUGUUGUUCUGCGAUUUCCAGGAUGUUGAAGAUCUGGCCUAGAACAUGCAAUAGACCAACAACAUACUGGUGGUGAACCUGAUGGUUUUGAUCACCAUGAAAUUUUCCUCCGUUUUCCUCUAACUUAAGCAACCCGUUUUCCAGAAGUAACCGACAUUUCAGUUCUCGCGCAAAAUGUAAGAGCAUAACUAAAAGGAAAAUAAAUGCGAUCCUCUCAUUAGAAAUAAAUGAAA